rnacentral:rRNA from 1 species
UACGAAGGGGGGCUAGCGUUGUUCGGAAUUACUGGGCGUAAAGCGUGCGCAGGCGGUUCUUCAAGUCAGUGGUGAAAGCCCGGAGCUCAACUCCGGAACUGCCAUUGAAACUGUAGAGCUCGAGUACGAGAGAGGUGAGUGGAAUUCCCAGUGUAGAGGUGAAAUUCGUAGAUAUUGGGAAGAACACCGGUGGCGAAGGCGGCUCACUGGCUCGUAACUGACGCUCAUGCACGACAGCGUGGGGGAUCAAAACA